AGUGGCAGACGGGUGAGUAACAUGUGGGAAUCUGCCUUGUGGUUCAGGACAACAUUGGGAAACCGAUGCUAAUACUGGAUAAGCCCUUACGGGGAAAGUUUUAAUGCCAUAAGAUGAGCCCGCAUUUGAUUAGUUAGUUGGUGAGGUAAUGGCUCACCAAGACAAUGAUCAAUAGCUGAUCUGAGAGGAUGAUCAGCCACACUGGGACUGAGACACGGCCCAGACUCCUACGGGAGGCAGCAGUGGGGAAUCUUGCACAAUGGAGGAAACUCUGAUGCAGCGAUGCCGCGUGAGUGAAGAAGGCCUUUGGGUUGUAAAGCUCUUUUGUAGGGGAAGAUAAUGACUGUACCCUAAGAAUAAGGUCCGGCUAACUUCGUGCCAGCAGCCGCGGUAAUACGAAGGGACCUAGCGUAGUUCGGAAUUACUGGGCGUAAAGCGCGCGUAGGCCGUUGAGUUAGUUAAUUGUGAAAUCCCAAAGCUUAACUUUGGAACUGCAAUUAAAACUGCUCGACUAGAGUUUGAUAGAGGAAAGCGGAAUACAUAGUGUAGAGGUGAAAUUCGUAGAUAUUAUGUAGAACACCAGUUGCGAAGGCGGCUUUCUGGAUCAACACUGACGCUGAGGCGCGAAAGUAUGGGUAGCAAAGAGGAUUAGAUACCCUCGUAGUCCAUACCAUAAACGAUGAUUGCUAGA
rnacentral:rRNA from 1 species